rnacentral:misc_RNA from 1 species
CCGAGUUAUCAACUCCCAAACCCCUGUGAACAUACCACUUGUUGCCUCGGCGGGAUCAGCCCGGCCUCCGGCCCGGUAAACAGGACGGCCCGCCAGAGGACCCCUAAACUCUGUUUUCUAUAUGUAAUCUUCUGAGUGAAACCAGCAAAUAAAUCA